rnacentral:tRNA from 1 species
UGGGAACGUACUCAAGUGGCUGAAGAGGCGCCCCUGCUAAGGGUGUAGGUCGGUUCAUACCGGCGCGAGGGUUCGAAUCUCUCCGUUCCCGUC